UCACCAUCGGGGGUAGAGCACUGUUAUGGCUAGGGGGUCAUCGCGACUUACCAACCCAUUGCAAACUCCGAAUACCGAUGAGUGCGAGCUUGGGAGACAGACGUCGGGUGCUAACGUCCGGCGUCAAGAGGGAAACAACCCAGACCGCCAGCUAAGGUCCCAAAGAUUGGCUAAGUGGAAAACGAAGUGGGAAGGCUAAAACAGUCAGGAGGUUGGCUUAGAAGCAGCCAUCCUUUAAAGAAAGCGUAAUAGCUCACUGAUCGAGUCGUCCUGCGCGGAAGAUGUAACGGGGCUAAGCCAGUCACCGAAGCUGCGGAUAUCAAUUUAUUGAUAUGGUAGGAGAGCGUUCUGUAAGCCUGCGAAGGUGUCUUGUAAAGGAUGCUGGAGGUAUCAGAAGUGCGAAUGCUGACAUGAGUAGCGAUAAUGGGGGUGAAAAGCCUCCACGCCGUAAGCCCAAGGUUUCCUGUUCAACGUUCAUCGGAGCAGGGUGAGUCGGCCCCUAAGGCGAGGCAGAGAUGCGUAGCUGAUGGGAAGCAGGUUAAUAUUCCUGCACCGUCGUUAGAUGCGAUGGGGGGACGGAUCGCGGAAGGUUGUCCGGGUGUUGGAAGUCCCGGUUUCUGUAUCAGAGAAGGCUGUUAGGCAAAUCCGGCAGCGUAAUUCAAGGGUAUGGGACGAGUGAACUUGUUCACGAAGCAAUCGGAAGUGGUUCCAAGAAAAGCCUCUAAGCUUCAGUCUAACGAGACCGUACCGCAAACCGACACAGGUGGGCGAGAUGAGUAUUCUAAGGCGCUUGAGAGAACUCGGGAGAAGGAACUCGGCAAAUUUGUACCGUAACUUCGGGAUAAGGUACGCCCUAGUAAUUUGACAGGCCUGCGCUUGAAGGAUGAAAGGGUUGCAAUAAAAAGGUGGCUGCGACUGUUUAAUAAAAACACAGCACUCUGCAAACACGAAAGUGGACGUAUAGGGUGUGACGCCUGCCCGGUGCUGGAAGAUUAAAUGAUGGGGUGCAAGCUCUUGAUUGAAGUCCCAGUAAACGGCGGCCGUAACUAUAACGGUCCUAAGGUAGCGAAAUUCCUUGUCGGGUAAGUUCCGACCUGCACGAAUGGCGUAACGAUGGCCACACUGUCUCCUCCCGAGACUCAGCGAAGUUGAAAUGUUUGUGAUGAUGCAAUCUACCCGCGGCUAGACGGAAAGACCCCAUGAACCUUUACUGUAGCUUUGCAUUGGACUUUGAACCAAUCUGUGUAGGAUAGGUGGGAGGCUUUGAAGCGGGGACGCUAGUUCUCGUGGAGCCAUCCUUGAAAUACCACCCUGGUUUGUUUGAGGUUCUAACCUUGGUCCGUUAUCCGGAUCGGGGACAGUGCAUGGUAGGCAGUUUGACUGGGGCGGUCUCCUCCCAAAGUGUAACGGAGGAGUUCGAAGGUACGCUAGGUACGGUCGGACAUCGUGCUAAUAGUGCAAUGGCAUAAGCGUGCUUAACUGCGAGACUGACAAGUCGAGCAGGUACGAAAGUAGGACAUAGUGAUCCGGUGGUUCUGUAUGGAAGGGCCAUCGCUCAACGGAUAAAAGGUACUCUGGGGAUAACAGGCUGAUUCCUCCCAAGAGUUCAUAUCGACGGGGGAGUUUGGCACCUCGAUGUCGGCUCAUCACAUCCUGGGGCUGUAGCCGGUCCCAAGGGUAUGGCUGUUCGCCAUUUAAAGUGGUACGUGAGCUGGGUUUAAAACGUCGUGAGACAGUUUGGUCCCUAUCUGCCGUGGGCGUUGGAAGUUUGAAGGGGGCUGCUCCUAGUACGAGAGGACCGGAGUGGACGAACCUCUGGUGUAUCGGUUGUCACGCCAGUGGCAUUGCCGAGUAGCUAAGUUCGGAAGAGAUAACCGCUGAAAGCAUCUAAGCGGGAAACUCGCCUUAAGAUGAGACUUCCCGGGAACUAGAUUCCCCUAAAGGGUCGUUCGAGACCAGGACGUUGAUAGGUCAGGUGUGGAAGUGCAGUAAUGCAUUAAGCUAACUGAUACUAAUUGCCCGUGCGGCUUGUUCCU
rnacentral:rRNA from 1 species